GAUGAAGAACGUAGCGAAAUGCGAUAAGUAAUGUGAAUUGCAGAAUUCCGUGAAUCAUCGAAUCUUUGAACGCACAUUGCGCCCUCUGGUAUUCCGGGGGGCAUGCCUGUCCGAGCGUCAUUGCAAACCCUCAAGCCCGGCUUGUCUGAUGGGUCCCGCGUCCGCCUCUUAGGGGGCGGACGGGCCCGAAACGCAGUGGCGGCGUCGCGGUAAUCCGAUCAGCCAGAGCGUAUGGGGACAUCUCGUCACACGCUUUAGGCGCGGACCGGCGCCCGCCGAGACCAAAUCUCACACCCAAGGUUUGACCUCGGAUCAGGUAGGGAUACCCGCUGAACUUAAGCAUAUCAAUAAGCGGAGGA
rnacentral:misc_RNA from 1 species